UUUAAUGCCGUCAGGACUUUUAGUAUGUUUUGUCCCUAACCACCCUGAAAAAGUUCCUGCAGAAAUCGCUUAGGCUUCCGCUCACGCAUUCUACACCUACUUAGUUGACUGAGCUAAUUAUA